rnacentral:rRNA from 1 species
GACGAACGCUGGCGGCGUGCUUAACACAUGCAAGUCGAACGGAAAGGCCCUGCUUUUGUGGGGUGCUCGAGUGGCGAACGGGUGAGUAACACGUGAGUAACCUGCCCUUGACUUUGGGAUAACUUCAGGAAACUGGGGCUAAUACCGGAUAGGAGCUCCUGCUGCAUGGUGGGGGUUGGAAAGUUUCGGCGGUUGGGGAUGGACUCGCGGCUUAUCAGCUGGUUGGUGGGGUAGUGGCUUACCAAGGCUUUGACGGGUAGCCGGCCUGAGAGGGUGACCGGCCACAUUGGGACUGAGAUACGGCCCAGACUCCUACGGGAGGCAGCAGUGGGGAAUAUUGCACAAUGGGCGGAAGCCUGAUGCAGCAACGCCGCGUGCGGGAUGACGGCCUUCGGGUUGUAAACCGCUUUCUCCUGUGACGAAGCGUGAGUGACGGUAAUGGGUAAAGAAGCACCGGCUAACUACGUG